UGCGGGCGGCGGCGCGGGUGUCCCCGCGGCGGGAGCGCGGCGGCGCGGGGCUGUAUGGACGUGAUGUCCCCGCAACAGGAGCACCUCGGCCCGGGCCGCUCGUCCUCGGUGAGCGGCGAGAGCAGGGGCUUCGCCGCCGCCGACAGCAAGAAGAAGAUGAAGAGUUUGGCCCAAAGACGCCAGUCUGCGCCAUCUUUGAUCUUUGUCAAAGCACUCAGCAGAUCUAGAUCGGCCUCAAGGUUCUUUUUCAUCACAAAAUUGUGAUGAAUAGCCAUGGAAAGACUCUU
rnacentral:lncRNA from 1 species